GUGGCUGUAGUUUAAGAAAAAUUCUAGAUUGUGAUCCUAGUCAUAGGAGUUAGCACCUCCUCAGCCACC
rnacentral:tRNA from 1 species